AUUGAACGCUGGCGGCAUGCCUUACACAUGCAAGUCGAACGGCAGCACGGGUGCUUGCACCUGGUGGCGAGUGGCGAACGGGUGAGUAAUACAUCGGAACGUACCUUAUCGUGGGGGGAUAACGCAGCGAAAGCUGUGCUAAUACCGCAUACGCCCUGAGGGGGAAAGCGGGGGAUCGCAAGACCUCGCGCGAUUAGAGCGGCCGAUGCCUGAUUAGCUAGUUGGUGGGGUAAAAGCCCACCAAGGCGACGAUCAGUAGCUGGUCUGAGAGGACGAUCAGCCACACUGGGACUGAGACACGGCCCAGACGCCUACGGGAGGCAGCAGUGGGGAAUUUUGGACAAUGGGGGCAACCCUGAUCCAGCAAUGCCGCGUGAGUGAAGAAGGCCUUCGGGUUGUAAGGCUCUUUUGUCAGGGAAGAAACAGCAGCUCUAACACAGUCUGCGAAUGACGGUACCUGAAGAAUAAGCACCGGCUAACUACGUGCCAGCCGCCGCAGUAA
rnacentral:rRNA from 1 species